rnacentral:rRNA from 1 species
AGUGAACGCUGGCGGUAGGCCUAACACAUGCAAGUCGAACGGCAGCACAGUAAGAGCUUGCUCUUACGGGUGGCGAGUGGCGGACGGGUGAGGAAUACAUCGGAAUCUACUUUUUCGUGGGGGAUAACGUAGGGAAACUUACGCUAAUACCGCAUACGACCUGCGGGUGAAAGCAGGGGAUCUUCGGACCUUGCGCGAUUGAAUGAGCCGAUGUCGGAUUAGCUAGUUGGCGGGGUAAAGGCCCACCAAGGCGACGAUCCGUAGCUGGUCUGAGAGGAUGAUCAGCCACACUGGAACUGAGACACGGUCCAGACUCCUACGGGAGGCAGCAGUGGGGAAUAUUGGACAAUGGGCGCAAGCCUGAUCCAGCCAUACCGCGUGGGUGAAGAAGGCCUUCGGGUUGUAAGGCCCUUUUGUUGGGAAAGAAAAGCAGCAGGUUAAUACCCCGCUGUUCUGACGGUACCCAAAGAAUAAGCACCGGCUAACUUCGUG